rnacentral:tRNA from 1 species
GCUUGCGUAGUUUACUUAAAACGCUACACUGAAGAUGUAGAGAUAGGCCCUAGAAAGUCUCGUGAGCA